rnacentral:tRNA from 1 species
GAGGCUGUGGCUCAGUGGUAGAGCGCUCACCUAGCGUGCGUGAGGUCCUGGGUUCAAUCCUCAGCACCACA